rnacentral:piRNA from 1 species
UGUGGCCUUCAAAUCUAUUUUCUCC